rnacentral:rRNA from 1 species
CCUACGGGAGGCAGCAGUGGGGAAUUUUGGACAAUGGGCGCAAGCCUGAUCCAGCCAUGCCGCGUGCAGGAUGAAGGCCUUCGGGUUGUAAACUGCUUUUGUACGGAACGAAAAGACUCUGGUUAAUACCUGGGGUCCAUGACGGUACCGUAAGAAUAAGCACCGGCUAACUACGUGCCAGCAGCCGCGGUAAUACGUAGGGUGCGAGCGUUAAUCGGAAUUACUGGGCGUAAAGCGUGCGCAGGCGGUUAUAUAAGACAGAUGUGAAAUCCCCGGGCUCAACCUGGGAACUGCAUUUGUGACUGUAUAGCUAGAGUACGGCAGAGGGGGAUGGAAUUCCGCGUGUAGCAGUGAAAUGCGUAGAUAUGCGGAGGAACACCGAUGGCGAAGGCAAUCCCCUGGGCCUGUACUGACGCUCAUGCACGAAAGCGUGGGGAGCAAACAGGAUUAGAUACCCUGGUAGUCCACGCCCUAAACGAUGUCAACUGGUUGUUGGGUCUUCACUGACUCAGUAACGAAGCUAACGCGUGAAGUUGACCGCCUGGGGAGGUACGGCCGCGAGUAGAACGUACGAAAGUAGAAGUUAGACGGCGUGAGACGUAGACCGAACGGACGACGACGAGGGGAGGAGGG